rnacentral:misc_RNA from 1 species
GAAUGAGAACCGGUCCGCGUGGUAAGGUCUGAAAAACCUCACGUGCCAGUAAGUGACCGUAAACCUCCACCCUUGCCUAUUAUACAACUGUUGCUUUGGUGGGCCGCGAGCCGUAAGGUGAGCACCGGCUUCGGCUGGAGAGUGCCUGCCAGAGGACCCAACUCUGAAAUUUAGUGAAGUCUGAGUACUAUUUAAUAGUUA